CUUGGCUGGAAAGAGCCUCCUGAACCUUCCCUUCCCCCACUCUUGUCGUUUUAAUCAAUGGGAAAUCCUCCGCCGUGCUUCUUUUAAGGAGGGGCGGGCUUUUCUUUUCCCGUACUCAAGCCAGGCACUAACAAUUGGGAGCGCUUGCAGCGGAAAGCUCCUCCUUGCCGUGCUGAAGAACGCUGCUCAGGAUCUCAUCUGUCUGAUGAAAACAAGCAAACCCACCCGCAAGUCCUUCCGAGGGUCCCGAGGCGCGCGGCCACCUUAAAUCCCCGCAGCCUUGUCUUUCGCACCCAUUCCAGCUCUCGGCCAAUCAGCAAGUCGCCUCGUCUCGCUUGAAUGACUCUUGUUCUUUGUUUGCGGAGAGGGAGGAUCUCUCCAAUCUGAUAAAGGGGAGGCCCAGCUGUUGGAGGCUUCUCAGCCAAUCGGCGGGCAAGCCUGUCUGGGUGUGCUUGUUCAAGAAAUGCCUGUCUGUGCUGGGGGAUGCCCUUAUGAGCGGGACUGAAAUCUCCCGCUCCUUGCUUAUUUAUACUGGUCUUUCAAACUCAACUCAUCCAAGGAGCUAUUAGGCUGUCUGUCUGUCUAGGGCAAUAAUGUUUGAACAGGCCUUCCAAUCUGUGACCGUUUAAACAAGGACCAUUUCGAGGAAAGGCGUAUGAUUGAUAUUUCAAAUAUGUCUCUUAAAAGAGGCCACACCGUCAGGUUACAAAAGUAAUAUGGGUCGAACUCGGGUCUCCUUGAUAGCUGCUCUCCCCACGGUGACCUUCUGCUCCUCCACUGAAUUCCCCACCACCACCACCGGUUGGAACCAAAAGCGGGAAAACGCGCGCGCUCUUUCUCUCUUUCAAAGAAGGCCUGAAGCAAUUCUCUGGACCAUGCAAAGACCUACUUCCUGCGUACAUCUCUUCAGCAUGGCAGACAGAACAAAGUUGGAGGCUGUUGACAAGGAGGUAAGAACUGCAGGAAACAGAGCCCAGCAGUCACCAGUGCUUGGGGGCCAUGGGUCACGCUCCACACCACAGACAGAUAACGAGAAAGCACAAGCACAAGCAUGUAAGCAAGCAUGCACCCACAUACAUUCUUUGCUUUUCCAUGGAGUCUGGAUAAAAGUCAGAUCCAACAGAA